UAGGUAAAUAUUCUCGUCUUUGAAAGGCCUUUGAGACGACCAGACCUCCGAGCAAAAUACUCCUCCGUCCGUCCGCCUCAACCUCUGGCCGUUAAAUUCCGGGUUCCGCCGCGCUCCUACUACACGGACAACACGAUCCCCGAGUUUUCACCUAGGUCUUCCCGGCGGUCUCUUUCCCGUUGGCUCGUGUUCGAUUACGGUCCUUAAAAGGUAAAAGAAUGUACGCAAUGCGUUCCAUUUAAAAUAUAAUGAGGGGGAAAAAAACACAAACUACACGUAAGACAUAGAAUCCUUAGGUUU